AUAGAGCAAGAGAAACAGGUGCACUGUGGUCAUGUUCAAAUGAAGAGAUAAUUGCGGAAUAUGAUUGGUGUAAGCAAACGCUGGGAAAUGCCGUUUUCUUUAAAGUGUUGUUCUAGCAUGCGGGAACAUCACAUCCUUGAUUACUGCCAGCCAUGUUUCUACGGGGACUAUCAAUCUCCCUGGCAACAGCACUAAUGUUGCCAGGUCUGCACAAUUCAAUUCAGUCCAAUGUCGAAUUAACCCAUGCCCAAUUGUGGCUUUCACGGUUUUCUGAAAGCUGUUAGAAGCCCACAAGGUUAGAAAAACCCACCGCAAUGCUCCGGAAAGAGGCCAGAGGGGGAGCAAUUUAACCCAUGGGCUAUAUAACAACCCUCUGCAAAAGUAGGCCAAUACCGCGGGAAAACUGAGGACUUGGCAACACUGCAACUCAAACACACAUGAAGCAUCUGCAUUUCAAUAAAUGAGGACAUGAACACAUGAACUUCAUCUCCAGGGAUGUUCUGAGGGGUCAUUUCACCAACAUUUUGCAGGUUCUUUUGAGAAAACUACUGUUAAAUGCAAACUGAAACCCAAAGGCACUUCCUUAAAGAUGUUUACGGCAAACCGCCAAAAUAUAAAUUAGGUUUUACUUGAAGGAGUUAUGAGAGAAAUAUAUUACUACUGCAUACAAAAAUGUACUUCUGAAAGUGUUAGUAACAGUAUUCUUUUUAAGGAAUAUCAUAACAAUAUCAUAUUUUAUUUUUCAUGCAUAUUUUAAUUUAUAC
rnacentral:lncRNA from 1 species